UGGUCCCGCCUGUCCUAUUGGGGGCGCUAAUGCAGUAAAAUCUGAUGUGCAAUACAACAUUAAACAUCAUAAGAAGAAGGAGGGGAGCAGAAGCCAGGUCCAUUGGAUUCUGGAAGAAGAGUAGGUGCAUAACUUUUCAGAAGUCUCUUCCAGAAAUAGCAGAAACUGGAGAUGUGAAAAAGAUGAGCAACCUUGCAAUGCGCAGCCCAAUGUACUUUACUAAAGCCAAAGAAGAGGAAAGGCUCUGGAUAGAGGAAAAGAGAAGAGACACCCAAAAACUCAGUGGAAAGGAGGCUAAAGACUUUUACCAAAGCCUUCUACAGGAGAGUGAUGCAGAAAAUCCAAGAGAGCGACGAGCGGUGAAAACAGGGAGGGUGAAAAGAGCAGCAGGACAAAAUCGAAGAAGAGGAGAGGGACGAAGUUUAGAAUCUACUCCUGUCCAAACAGUUGGUACCUCACAGCGUGAUGGGCACAAACUUCUGCGAUUUGCCCAGGAAGGCAAUACUCAAGGCCUUAAGGACCUUAUGAGAGAUGGCUGUGAUGUAAACUUCCGUGAUGAUUUUUACUGGACAGGUGUGAUGUGUGCUAGUCAGGCUGGAAAGACAGAGGCUGUUCGGCUGCUUCUGCAGCAUGGAGCUGCAUGGAUUGGUGUUGUGGACAAACAGGGCAGAGAUGCACGGGAUUUGGCCAUGCAGGCAGGUCACCAUGAUGUAGUGAGAGAACUGGAGCAUUUUGGUGUGUCAGAGAGUACUCCCACUGCAAAUGAUGCAAACAGUGGUCGUUCUCUGUGGUGUAGUGUGUGUGCUGUACAUUACACAGACAGCACUCAAACACACAACAAGUCCACGCUGCAUCAAUUCAGUGAGCUUCGUCCCCCACCCACCCCUCAAUACUGCCUGCCCUCCUCUAGCACCAGCUAUAAAAUGAUGCUCCGCUUAGGGUGGGAUCCCUUUUCUGGUCUUGGACCUGCCCAUAGCGGCCGGAAAAAUCCAAUCAGCACGGUACUUAAGAGGGAUCAGAAAGGACUUGGAUUUGGAGUGACUCCACAGCCUAAAGUGACUCAUUUCCGGGCAAAAGAUUCUCAGGCAGUGAAACAGCCUAAAGAGAGAAGAUUAAGACUGGAGAGAGGAUCAAAGCUCAACAAAAAAGAACUUAAAAUGAAAGAUGAGAGAGACAAGGUCUGGGAAAGGGACUAUCGCUCGUCGUUUAAUAUUAACCUCUGACUUGUUUCUUUUGACCUCGGACCUUAUGUGCUUUAUGAUAAACAUUUGAUUGCAUAGUGAAAAAACUAGUUUGUCUGACAGCAACAGAGUUUAUUGAGUCAUGUUAACGGAACUAUGCAAAAUUGAAAAAUAUUUUGAAAAACGGUUUUAGGUUUGACAAUAAAUUAAUUAACUAAUUACUCACCCCUCCUAUGCCAAGAGAAGCGACAGUGGGUUCUGAUUUUUACAAACGGUUUCUAUUUCUGUGAUGUCAUUGCUGACAACUAAUUGAGAUCUCAUUCAAAGACAGUUCUGCGCAUUAUGAAUAUUAAUCAUCCAACAUGGACGAGGAGAGGCUGAUUGUACAUUUAAAAGGAAAAACGCAUAACAAAUCCCCCAAGUUUCACUAAAGGAAAGCCAUAUAAAUUAGAGGGAUGCAUCUUCUCUCUGUGUGUGCGUGUGUGCUGGAGAUGCUCUACACCCCUAUUUGCGUUCAAUAUGGACCGCCAAAUUGCCUAUCCCUAUAAUCUUAUUGUGUCACUUCUAGUUAGGACAAGAUGCAGCAUUCUCAAUGAGUAGACUUGUUGAAACAAGAUGAACUAUGAUGGUGGAGUAUUUUAUAGACCAGUUUACAUAAACAUGACUCGUACAGGAAAAUGUUUGGACUGGUUAGCUUUGCUUACUGCUGGUUUCCGAGAUUGAAACCGCAGGAAGGAAAAGGCAGAGCUCUGCCCUGAUAAGGUUUCCUGCAAAAUCUUUGGCAGUCAGUGAACACUCUGCAGUUCCAUGGUCUCUGAUCAUCUGAUUCUGUGUUUAUCAGCCUUUAAAGUACCAGCCAUCUUAAGACGACAAGUUCGUACACCAGCUGAUACAAUGGGAAGCAUGCGAUUUCCUGCAUUGGUCUUUGUACUUUACUACAGUAAGGUGCUAUUGGCUAUAGCUGAUGAAGUGAUAAAAUUAGACAUGUUUCCUGAAUUUGUGGAUUACAAAAAAUGUGGGGAUAAGAUGCUUCAAAGAGUCAUAAAACCAGGAGGUCUGCUGCAAAAAGAGCUCAACAACAAUAAAGAUUUUAAGUCAAUGUGGAAAGCUAAUGAAACAUGUGGGAAGAAGAUUCCAGGUGGAACACAAGAGCACAUGGCUGCAUUGAAGAGCUAUGCAAAAGCUAAUAAAAAAUUUCUUAAAUCUUUCAACACACAACUUUAUAACAAGGGCACGAACAUCACAAUGUACCAAGAUCAGUUUUCCUUCAAAUCUCUUCACUUCCUACUGACAGAUGGCAUGCAACUUUUACGCAAAGAAAACACAACGUGUCAUAAUGUGUAUUAUGGCACAGAGAAAAAGUACAAUAUAGCGCCUGGAGAUUUAAUCAGAUUUGGGAGAUUUUAUCCAGCACAACUAGAGUAUAGUCUUGCAAAUGAGGAUGCAGUAGACAGCGAUGGGACCAUUUUUAACAUCACUUCUUGUACUGUGGUCAGUCUUGAUGAAAGUGGGUGUAAGGCAGAGGAAAUCGAUCUGCUAAUAUCCCCUGAGGAAGCUUUUGAUGUUGAAGACAUCAGGAAAGUUGGCCCCAAAGAUGAAGAAGUUACAAUGGUCAUCUUAAAGCCAUCUGCUUCUCACAGGUCCUUCGACUGUAGCCACCUGUUCAGCUCGUCCACAUCUGAUGAAUCCUCUUCUAAUUUGCUGAGGUCCAGUUUAAUGAACGUGAUGACUCCCUUUUUGAUGGUGUGCAUAUACACACUGGCUCUGUAAUAUAUAAAUGAUUCUGUAUUGUCUUGAAGAUUCCUAAAAAAUUAAAGCAUCAUUCCUUUUCUUUAAAAAAUACCCAGUUUU